rnacentral:rRNA from 1 species
GACGAACGCUGGCGGCGUGCUUAACACAUGCAAGUCGAACGGAAAGGCCCCUUUGGGGGUACUCGAGUGGCGAACGGGUGAGUAACACGUGAGUAACCUGCCCUUGACUUCGGGAUAACUUCAGGAAACUGGGGCUAAUACCGGAUAGGAAUCCUUGCUGCAUGGUGGGGGUUGGAAAGCUUCGGCGGGUUUGGAUGGACUCGCGGCUUAUCAGCUUGUUGGUGGGGUAGUGGCUUACCAAGGCUUUGACGGGUAGCCGGCCUGAGAGGGCGACCGGCCACAUUGGGACUGAGAUACGGCCCAGACUCCUACGGGAGGCAGCAGUGGGGAAUAUUGCACAAUGGGCGGAAGCCUGAUGCAGCAACGCCGCGUGCGGGAUGACGGCCUUCGGGUUGUAAACCGCUUUCAGCAGGGGAGAAGCUUGUGGUGACGGUACCUGCAGAAGAAGCACCGGCUAACUACGUG